rnacentral:rRNA from 1 species
GGAUUCCCCUAGUAACGGCGAGUGAAGCGGGAAAAGCUCAAAUUUGAAAUCUGGCGGUCUACGGCCGUCCGAGUUGUAGUCUAGAGAGGUGUCUUCUGCGUCGGACCAUGCACAAGUCCCUUGGAACAGGGCGUCAUAGAGGGUGAGAAUCCCGUCCGUGGCAUGGACUCCCGGUGCUUUGUGAUGCGCCUUCGAAGAGUCGAGUUGUUUGGGAAUGCAGCUCAAAAUGGGUGGUAAAUUCCAUCUAAAGCUAAAUACAGGCGAGAGACCGAUAGCGAACAAGUACCGUGAGGGAAAGAUGAAAAGCACUUUGGAAAGAGAGUUAAACAGUACGUGAAAUUGUUGAAAGGGAAACGCUUGGAGUCAGUCGCGUUUGCCGGGACUCAGCCUUGCUUCUGCUUGGUGCACUUCCUGGUACACGGGCCAGCAUCGAUUUUGAUCGCCGGAAAAAGGCUUGGGGAAGGUGGCACCUUCGGGUGUGUUAUAGCCCCUUGUUGUAUACGGUGGUUGGGAUUGAGGACCGCAGCACGCCUUUUGGUCGGGGUUCGCCCACGCCACGUGCUUAGGAUGCUGGCGUAAUGGCUUUAAACGACCCGUCUUGAAACACGGACCAAGGAGUCUAACAUGCCUGCGAGUGUUUGGGUGUAAAACCCAGGCGCGUAAUGAAAGUGAAAGGUUGGGACUCUUCGCUGAGGCACCGACGCCCGAUCCUGACGUUCUCUGACGGAUUUGAGGUAGAGCAUGUAUGUUGGGACCCGAAAGAUGGUGAACUAUGCCUGAAUAGGGCGAAGCCAGAGGAAACUCUGGUGGAGGCUCGUAGCGAUUCUGACGUGCAAAUCGAUCGUCAAAUUUGGGUAUAGGGGCGAAAGACUAAUCGAACCAUCUAGUAGCUGGGUUCCUGCCGA